AGAGUUUGAUCAUGGCUCAGAGCGAACGCUGGCGGCAGGCCUAAAACAUGCAAGUCGAACGAAUCCUUCGGGAUUAGUGGCGGACGGGUGAGUAACACGUGGGAACGUGCCUUUUGGUUCGGAACAACUCAGGGAAACUUGAGCUAAUACCGAAUGUGCCCUUCGGGGGAAAGAUUUAUCGCCAUUAGAGCGGCCCGCGUCUGAUUAGCUAGUUGGUGGGGUAAAGGCCUACCAAGGCUACGAUCAGUAGCUGGUCUGAGAGGAUGAUCAGCCACACUGGGACUGAGACACGGCCCAGACUCCUACGGGAGGCAGCAGUUAGGAAUCUUGCGCAAUGGGGGAAACCCUGACGCAGCCAUGCCGCGUGAAUGAUGAAGGUCUUAGGAUUGUAAAAUUCUUUCAGCGGGGACGAUAAUGACGGUACCCGCAGAAGAAGCCCCGGCUAACUUCGUGCCAGCAGCCGCGGUAAUACGAAGGGGGCUAGCGUUGCUCGGAAUUACUGGGCGUAAAGGGCGCGUAGGCGGAUGUUUAAGUCAGCGGUGAAAGCCCAGGGCUCAACCUUGGAACUGCCAUUGAUACUGGACAUCUUGAGUACGGGAGAGGUGAGUGGAACACCGAGUGUAGAGGUGAAAUUCGUAGAUAUUCGGUAGAACACCAGUGGCGAAGGCGACUCACUGGCCCGUUACUGACGCUGAGGCGCGAAAGCGUGGGGAGCAAACAGGAUUAGAUACCCUAGUAGUCC
rnacentral:rRNA from 1 species